rnacentral:rRNA from 2 species
GCGGCCUUCGGGACAGAGGAGACAGGUGGUGCAUGGUUGUCGUCAGCUCGUGUCGUGAGAUGUUGGGUUAAGUCCCGCAACGAGCGCAACCCUUAACUUUAGUUGCCAGCAAGUAAUGUUGGGCACUCUAGAGUGACUGCCGGUGACAAACCGGAGGAAGGUGGGGAUGACGUCAAAUCAUCAUGCCCCUUAUGACCUGGGCUACACACGUACUACAAUGGCCGGUACAACGGGAAGCGAAGCCGCGAGGUGAAGCCAAUCCCAUCAAAGCCGGUCUCAGUUCGGAUUGCAGGCUGCAACUCGCCUGCAUGAAGUCGGAAUUGCUAGUAAUCGCGGAUCAGCAUGCCGCGGUGAAUACGUUCCCGGGUCUUGUACACACCGCCCGUCACACCACGAGAGUUUACAACACCCGAAGUCGGUGGGGUAACCCGCAAGGGAGCCAGCCGCCGAAGGUGGGGUAGAUGAUUGGGGUGAAGUCGUAACAAGGUAGCCGUAUCGGAAGGUGCGGCUGGAUCACCUCCUUUCUAUGGAGA